UACGUAGGUGGCAAGCGUUGUCCGGAUUUACUGGGCGUAAAGAGCGCGCAGGCGGUCGUGCAAGUCGCGUGUGAAAGCCCCCGGCUCAACUGGGGAGGGUCACGCGAUACUGCUCGACUUGAAGGCAGGAGAGGGAAGUGGAAUUCCCGGUGUAGUGGUGAAAUGCGUAGAUAUCGGGAGGAACACCAGUGGCGAAGGCGGCUUCCUGGCCUGUUCUUGACGCUGAGGCGCGAAAGCUAGGGGAGCAAACGGG
rnacentral:rRNA from 1 species